rnacentral:rRNA from 1 species
GACGGAGGGCGCAAGCGUUGUUCGGAAUUACUGGGCGUAAAGGGCGGGCAGGUGGUCUGUUAAGUCGUUUGUGAAAAUCCGGGGCUCAACCCCGCGAAAUGCAGACGAUACUGGCAGACUAGAGAUCGGUAGAGGCUAGCGGAAUUCCUGGUGUAGCGGUGGAAUGCGUAGAUAUCAGGAAGAACACCUGUGGCGAAGGCGGCUAGCUGGGCCGAGUCUGACACUCAUCCGCGAAAGCGUGGGGAGCAAACAGG